CCAGCAGCCCCCCUUUUUUUGCAGACCGAGGGUCGUGAGCUCGCCUGGCGACGCGGCCUGGGAACAGCUUGGUCUCGCGGGCUGAGUGCUCUGGCCCCGGGUGGUAUGUAAG
rfam:Sorex araneus cont1.408675, whole genome shotgun sequence.